GUGCUCACUUCGGCAGCACAUAAACUAAAAUUGGAACGCUACGGAGAAGACUUGUCUGGUCCCUGCGCAAGGAGGACAUGCAAAUUCAUGAAGCGUUCCAUAUUUAA
ensembl:snRNA U6 U6 spliceosomal RNA